GCUCCGUAGUUCAGUUGUAUAGAACGUCAGAUUCCGGUUCUGAAGGUCGUGGGUUAGAAUCCCAAUUUACAAGAGCA
rnacentral:tRNA from 1 species